rnacentral:rRNA from 1 species
GGAGCUCUCCCAUAUGGUCGACCUGCAGGCGGCCGCGAAUUCACUAGUGAUUGUUUGAUCCUGGCUCAGAUUGAACGCUGGCGGCAGGCUUAACACAUGCAAGUCGAACGGUAACAGAGAAUAGCUUGCUAUUUUGCUGACGAGUGGCGGACGGGUGAGUAAUGCUUGGGAAUUUGCCGAAAGGUGGGGGACAACAGUUGGAAACGACUGCUAAUACCGCAUAAUGUCUACGGACCAAAGGUGGCCUCUAUUUAUAUGCUAUCGCCUUUCGAUGAGCCCAAGUGGGAUUAGCUAGUUGGUAAGGUAAUGGCUUACCAAGGCGACGAUCCCUAGCUGGUCUUAGAGGAUGACCAGCCACACUGGAACUGAGACACGGUCCAGACUCCUACGGGAGGCAGCAGUGGGGAAUAUUGCACAAUGGGGGAAACCCUGAUGCAGCCAUGCCGCGUGUGUGAAGAAGGCUUUCGGGUUGUAAAGCACUUUCAGCGAGGAGGAAAGGGUGAUGGCUAAUAUCCAUUAUCUGUGACGUUACUCGCAGAAGAAGCACCGGCUAACUCCGUGCCAGCAGCCGCGGUAAUACGGAGGGUGCAAGCGUUAAUCGGAAUUACUGGGCGUAAAGCGCGCGUAGGUGGUUAAUUAAGUCAGAUGUGAAAGCCCAGGGCUCAACCUUGGAACUGCAUUUGAAACUGGUUGACUAGAGUUUUGUAGAGGGUGGGUAGAAUUU